rnacentral:lncRNA from 1 species
CAUUUUGUAUUUUGGUCCUUAAUAUUAAUUUUAUUAUUAAGUUUUCAACCUUUCAAUUUUAUUACAAUUACUUUUUCUUUUUUCUUUUUUUUUGAGAGAUAGGUAGCAUGUUAUCCGCUACGUUUAUUUCAUUUAGAAAUAAACUUAGCUCAAAAUGUGAAUCAAUUUGGAUUCGAACUUGGGACCUCGAGUACCAACCACCAAGCCCUUUGCCACUUACUCUAGGGACGGUCAGUGAUUUUAUUACAAUUAUGUCCCAAUCGUUAAAAGAAGUGUUAAAAUUAACAAAAUUACCAUUUCAGCGCCUACUUAGCUGUAUUUUGCAUCUCAAUUUUGAUCCCUAAACUUUACAUAUUUUUCACUUUAUUCCAAAAAAUAAAAAAUCAAAAUUUGAAUUUAAAUUCAUAAUUAAUAUUGAAAUUAAAAUUUUAAACUAAGUAGAAAUUAGAAUUUUGGAAUUGAAUUUCAAUUUUAAAUUUGAAUUGAAAUUCAAAUUUUAAAUUGAAUCUAAAUUUUGAUUUUAA